GACGAACCGUGCGAACGUUGUUAGGAAUCACUGGGCUUAAAGGGCGCGUAGGCGGAUUGCCAAGUCAGAGGUGAAAUCUCUCAGCUCAACUGGGAAAUUGCUUUUGAUACUGGCAGUCUCGAGUGAGGUAGGGGCAUGUGGAACUCUCGGUGGAGCGGUGAAAUGUGUUGAUAUCGGGAGGAACUCUGGUGGCGAAAGCGACGUGCUGGACCUCAACUGACGCUGAGGCGCGAAAGCUAGGGGAGCAAACGGG
rnacentral:rRNA from 1 species